UCAUUUGUUUUCCUUUUUCAAAAUGGAAAAAUAAAUUAUUAGUUAAAUUAAUUGUUCGUUUUAAAUUGUUAAUUAUGGUUAUUUAAUUUAAUCUUUUCGAUCUUAUUUAAGCUGAUUGUUACGGUUCUUUGAUCUCUCUACUAUUAUGGUUGUUGCCGCUUUUCCAAUAGUCAAACUUGGGGCUCUUGCAGCUCGACAAAUAAGUAAACCUUUAGCUAAACAGAUUCAGGUGAAGGCGAAAACAUCACCAGUCCUAAGGACUUAUUUGUGUUUGCCUUUGGCUAAUUUUUAUCAUCGUUUAGAGGUAACAUUUAAGAUGCGAUCGUUGAAUCUUAAAAAACCAGCAAAAAUCUCAAAUCUCAGUGAAACCGCAGCCAUCGAAUUAGGAGCUGAACUACUUGGAGAACUUGUAAUAUUUACUAUUGCUGCUUUUACCGUGACAUUUGAAUAUAGAAGGCAAUCGAAAAUUAAACAAAUAGAAGCAGCUUCAGCCGAAACAAGAUGGUCCAAUUUGGUUUGUCGUUUAAGAGAUUUGGAAAUGCAAUUAGACAAAAUGAAUGCACAAUUAAGACACUUUGAGAGGACUUUACAUGCAACACAAUCAAAGGAUAAACAAUUAACAUCAAAUGAUUCGGGUAAAAAAAAUGGAAAUUGUUGAUCUUUUUUAAUUUGGUCUCUGGUCUCGAUUCAAUUGUUAAUUGAUCAUUUUUCGUUUCGUCAAUUGAUGAUAAUCGAGUUUAAAAAAAUGCAACGAUAAACCAAAGGAAAGGAAUCAAAUUAAUCACUUUCAAAAGGAACAAUCAACAACCGUAAUUGUAAUCCUAUCUUUUGAUGGAAUAAUUUAUUUCCAAUUCUAGAAAAGCCUUUUAAUUGCAUUUAGGAUUCUCACUGAUUAUGUGAUACACAAAAGUAAAUGCUACAUAUAAUUGAAAGAGCUUAAUUAAAUUUAUCUACUCAAAUUCAAAUAACGUCACGAUUAACCAACAACUCCCAUUGAUGAGAGCGAUAGUAUUUUAAUCACUUGAGCGCCUCACCCACUGGAUCGUAAUUGCGUAAUUUUCAAUUUCUAAUUGUUAAUUAAUUGUACUAAUUGAAGAGAAUUCAAUUGAUUUGGAAUAAAAAUUUAUCCCAACUUUGGAA